UACAGAGGUCCCAAGCGUUGUGCGGAUUCAUUGGGCGUAAAGGGUGCGUAGGUGGCGCGCUAAGUCAGGUGUGAAAUUUCGGAGCUUAACUCCGAAACUGCAUUCGAUACUGCCGUGCUUGAGGACUGGAGAGGAGACUGGAAUUUACGGUGUAGCGGUGAAAUGCGUAGAUAUCGUAAGGAAGACCAGUGGCGAAGGCGGGUCUCUGGACAGUUCCUGACGCUGAGGCACGAAGGUCAGGGGAGCAAACGGG
rnacentral:rRNA from 1 species